AAACUUAAAGGAAUUGACGGGACCCGCACAAGCGGUGGAGGAUGUGGUUUAAUUCGACGCAACGCGAAGAACCUUACCUAGGCUUGACAUGCUGGUGAAAACCAUGGAAACAUGGUCCUCCCGUAAGGGACAUCAGUACAGGUGGUGCAUGGCUGUCGUCAGCUCGUGUCGUGAGAUGUUGGGUUAAGUCCCGCAACGAGCGCAACCCUUAUUCUUAGUUGUUUCCCUUUGGGAUUACCCUCUAAGAAGACUGCCUCGGAUAACGGGGAGGAAGGUGGGGAUGACGUCAAGUCCGCAUGCUCCUUACGUCUAGGGCUACACACGUCCUACAAUGGGGUCGACAAUGGGAUGCAAUAUCGCAAGAUGGAGCCAAUCCCCAAACGGCCUCUCAGUUCGGAUUGUAGUCUGCAACUCGACUACAUGAAGUUGGAAUCGCUAGUAAUGGCAGAUCAGCAUGCUGCCGUGAAUACGUUCCCGGGUCUU
rnacentral:rRNA from 1 species